rnacentral:rRNA from 1 species
UAAAGAAUUUCGGUAUGGGAUGGGGAUGCGUUCCAUUAGUUAGUUGGCGGGGCAACGGCCCACCAAGACAACGAUGGAUAGGGGUUCUGAGAGGAAGGUCCCCCACAUUGGAACUGAGACACGGUCCAAACUCCUACGGGAGGCAGCAGUGAGGAAUAUUGGUCAAUGGACGAGAGUCUGAACCAGCCAAGUAGCGUGAAGGAUGACUGCCCUAUGGGUUGUAAACUUCUUUUAUAUGGGAAUAAAAUGUUCCACGUGUGGGAUUUUGUAUGUACCAUAUGAAUAAGGAUCGGCUAACUCCGUGCCAGCAGCCGCGGUAAUACGGAGGAUCCGAGCGUUAUCCGGAUUUAUUGGGUUUAAAGGGAGCGUAGGUGGAUUGUUAAGUCAGUUGUGAAAGUUUGCGGCUCAACCGUAAAAUUGCAGUUGAAACUGGCAGUCUUGAGUACAGUAGAGGUGGGCGGAAUUCGUGGUGUAGCGGUGAAAUGCUUAGAUAUCACGAAGAACUCCGAUUGCGAAGGCAGCUCACUGGACUGCAACUGACACUGAGGCUCGAAAGUGUGGGUAUCAAACAGGAUUAGAUACCCUGGUAGUCCACACAGUAAACGAUGAAUACUCGCUGUUUGCGAUAUACAGUAA